rnacentral:lncRNA from 1 species
GAGAAGUCGACAUAUUGAAGUUGUUUAGGGUUUCUAUAAUAUCUAGAGAUCUAUCAGCUAGAAUAAGGUGAAUUUUGACGUAAUAAGUUGAGGACUUAAAGGCGGAGUUGCACACGAGGUUUGAAUGAGAAUUAAUGGUUGAAGAAGGAGAAAUUGCAAGUCAAGAUUUUUCAUCAACUUUUUAGGCGGCAGUCAAGGUACAUCAGUGUAGAUUUACAACGUUUUCUUGCAAUCUGUAAGUUAGAUUGGAUU